GAUGAACGCUGGCGGCGUGCCUAAUACAUGCAAGUCGAGCGAACGGACGAGAAGCUUGCUUCUCUGAUGUUAGCGGCGGACGGGUGAGUAACACGUGGAUAACCUACCUAUAAGACUGGGAUAACUUCGGGAAACCGGAGCUAAUACCGGAUAAUAUUUUGAACCGCAUGGUUCAAAAGUGAAAGACGGUCUUGCUGUCACUUAUAGAUGGAUCCGCGCUGCAUUAGCUAGUUGGUAAGGUAACGGCUUACCAAGGCAACGAUGCAUAGCCGACCUGAGAGGGUGAUCGGCCACACUGAAACUGAGACCCGGCCCAGACCCCUAGGGGAGGCAGCAGGGGGGAAUCUUCCGCAAGGGGCGAAGGCUUGACGGAGCAACGCCGCGUGAGUGAUGAAGGUCUUCGGAUCGUAAAACUCUGUUAUUAGGGAAAAGCAUAUGUGUAAGUAACUGUGCACAUCUUGAGGGUACCUAAUAAGAAGGCCCCGGCUACCUACGU
rnacentral:rRNA from 1 species